rnacentral:lncRNA from 1 species
CUGAACAGAAAAAUCACUGCAAGAGUAAAAAUUAGAGCCAGUAUUGUCUGGUUGUUUUCAAUUUCAAUUUCAAUUUCAAUGUCAUUAGGUUCUAGUAAGGGUACAGCAAUCAUGGGACAGAAGUUAAAGACUUUUCUGAAUGUAAAACUGUUUUGUAAAUUUAGCUUUGAAAUCAUGUAAAGGUUUUAUGUAAUUAAAAAAUGAAAGAAAAAAGAAAUCUAAAAACUUCAAAAUUACUUGUAAUUAACAUCCCUGCUGUGCCCUUUCUGAAUUCCUGACAGAAUCUGAGCACAUAAUAAAUGGUUGUUUUACAUCAAGGAAUAGCAACUGGAACAACUCUUAAUGCUAUCAAAGAAUACAUCUGCAGAUCAUACUAGGCUAAAACUUAAAAGUUUUUUCCACAUAAAAUGAAAAUAUAUAGCUAUGUUGGAAAAUCACCAUAAUUAUCUCCGUACUACAUAUUCAUUACCAAAUUUCCACCAGGUGGUAGAUACACUGUACCUCUACUUAUACUCUUAUCCUUCUAAGCCUUUUCUUUUUAGGAACCAGAAAAAGUUAUUAAAAUAACAGGUAAAGAAAAAGUAUUUAACCAGUUGAAAUAAUUAACAUUUAGAAAAUUAACAUCAGUUAAAAUGUUAUUCCAAUUGUCGUUUUUGUUUUGUUUUUUUUUUUUUGUUUUUUUUUUUUGAGACAGAGUCUUACUCUGUCGCCCAGGCUAGCAUGAUCUCAGCUCACUGCAACCUCCGCCUCCCAGGCUCAAGUAAUUCUCCUGGCUCAGCCUCCCAAGUAGCUGGGAUUAUAGGCAUGAGCCACCACACCUGGCUAAUUUUUGCAUUUUUAGUAGAGACAGGGUUUUGCCAUGUUGGCCAGUCUGGUCUCAAACUCCUGGCCUCAAGUGAUCUGCCCACCUCAGCCUCCCAAAGUGCUAGGAUUACAGGCGUGAGCCACCACACUCAGCUAUCCCAAUUGUUUUAAUAUUGUAUAUGAGGACGAAUAAACAACAACAAAAAACUAAACACUUUAAAAACAAAGAUCAUGAAAAAGUUCUGGAAAUGAAUGGUGGUAUCAGUUGCAUAAC